rfam:Gossypium raimondii Chr08_contig_1055, whole genome shotgun sequence.
UAUUAAAACUUUUAUCUAUUUGUAUGGUUAAAACCUGGCACGAUUGAUGGAAUAAUCAGGCAGUGAUAUAUGGUCUGCCACUUGUACAUUAUGAUGACGUACAUAAACAGAAUUUUAACAUUAGAAAUGGAUGAAAUCUUUAACA